UACGGGGGGGGCAAGCGUUGUUCGGAAUUACUGGGCGUAAAGGGCUUGUAGGUGGCCAACUAAGUCAGACGUGAAAUCCCUCGGCUUAACCGGGGAACUGCGUCUGAUACUGGAUGGCUUGAGUGUGGGAGAGGGAUGCGGAAUUCCAGGUGUAGCGGUGAAAUGCGUAGAUAUCUGGAGGAACACCGGUGGCGAAGGCGGCAUCCUGGACCAAUAUUGACGCUGAGGAGCGAAAGCCAGGGGAGCAAACGGG
rnacentral:rRNA from 1 species